ACGGUUGUAUAAAUGCCGUUUAAAUUACAUUCCAAUGAUAAUGGUAAGGCUGGCGGUUCAAGUCCGCCCAAGCGUG
rnacentral:tRNA from 1 species